AAAAAAUUAGUUAAAAUUUAAUAACAUUAAUUUGUCAAAUUAAAAUUAUUAUUCAAUAUUUUUUA
rnacentral:tRNA from 1 species